AAUAUAUUACACACCCAGAUUUUAUUUUAUUUUUUUUGAACAGAUACGCACCCAGAUUUAGGCGCCCAUAUAUUUACAUCCCUUUCCUCUGUCUCUCUCUCUCACAAAGAACCUCACAUCUUCUCACUUCACCGAAGUCCCUCGCCACCGUUGCUGACGUUCGUCGUACAUCGCCACCGCCACCGCCACCGCCGCAAUACGAACAGGAUUCAACGUUGAGACAGUGGAGUACAAGAACAUUAGCUUCACAGUUUGGGAUGUUGGUGGUCAGGAUAAAGCUUGCUUCUUCAAGAAAUCAAAGACUUCUGGCGUGUUGCACUAUUGGCUUCUAUGUUGUUGUACCCCGCCAACAUUGAUGUUACUACAUAUUCAUCAGAUGAGCAGUUCAAAUUGGAGAAGAGAUCAGAAUCAUUUUAGAUGAUUGAGAAUGUGAUUAUAGAACUAGAUUCUUCACCCACAGAGUGCACAGGUGUGUGUGUGUGUUGGGAGCUCAAGAGGUGAUGUAAAUCCCUUUGUCUCAAAACAUUUGAGAAGUAAAGAAAAAGAGAAAGGAAGAGAGAACAGCGAGAGAGAGAGAGAAAGAGAGGGAGAAGGGGAAAAUUUUGAUGGAAAGCUUAGAGGAAAGGCUAAGGUUAAAGAAAGGAAGAACAACAAAGAAGAGAAGGGGAAACUUAUCAAUAGAUUAUCGAUCAAGAACUCUAGGUCGAACUUACUUAAAAUGGGUAAUAGACAAGGAGUAUGAUUGGUCUCCUAAAUGCUGCCUAUGUCAUGCUGUGAUUGAAAAGGAGGCUGAUCCUCAAACUACUCGAUUGGGUUGCUUGCGUAUGUGAUCAUGCCGCAUAUUGUCAAACUUCAUACAUGCAAAUUUUUUCUUUACAUGCAAGCAACCUGAACUUAUAUUGAAUAACUUCUUUCUUCUUAUUUGUUUUGUAUGAAAUUAUUAUUGUAAGUUGGAAUGUACUUGGUUUAUAUGCAAUGUUGACAUUAAAAGUUA